rnacentral:rRNA from 1 species
CAUGCAUGUUUCCGCAAUCAGGGACGAAUAGCUCAGUAAAACUGCGAUGAUUUAGUCUGGCUGUGUAGAUAACUACGUGAAAAUGUAGCUAAGGGAAGGCAGAAUAAGACGCAGGACUAUCAGUUAGUUGGUAGUGUAAUGGACUACCAAGACAGUGACGGUUGACGGGAAAUUAGGGUUUUGUACCGGAGAGGGAGCCUGAGAGAUUGCUCCCACGUCCAAGGACGGCAGCAGGCGCGAAAAUUGCCCACUCUUUGCAGGAGGCAGUUAUGAGACGUGAAGAUGAGUAUCUUGUAAAGAGGGAUAGGAGAAUUGGAGGGCAAGUUUGGUGCCAGCAGCCGCGGUAAUACCGACUCCAAGAGUGUGUAUGAGAGAUGCUGCAGUUAAAAAGUCCGUAGUCAUAGAAGGGCAAAGAGAGAUGCGAGGUCUCACAGUGCGAUGAUGGAGGAGCCGAUGGGGAACAUAGUAUACCAGGGCGAGAGAUGAAAUG